AGUGGGGAAUCUUGGACAAUGGGGGCAACCCUGAUCCAGCCAUGCCGCGUGAGUGAUGAAGGCCCUAGGGUCGUAAAGCUCUUUCGCCUGUGAUGAUAAUGACAGUAGCAGGUAAAGAAACCCCGGCUAACUCCGUGCCAGCAGCCGCGGUAAUACGGAGGGGGUUAGCGUUGUUCGGAAUUACUGGGCGUAAAGCGCGCGUAGGCGGAUUGGAAAGUUGGGGGUGAAAUCCCGGGGCUCAACCCCGGAACUGCCUCCAAAACUCCCAGUCUUGAGUUCGAGAGAGGUGAGUGGAAUUCCGAGUGUAGAGGUGAAAUUCGUAGAUAUUCGGAGGAACACCAGUGGCGAAGGCGGCUCACUGGCUCGAUACUGACGCUGAGGUGCGAAAGUGUGGGGAGCAAA
rnacentral:rRNA from 1 species